GACGUAGGAGGCGAGCGUUGUCCGGAUUCAUUGGGCGUAAAGAGCGCGCAGGCGGCUUGGUAAGUCGGAUGUGAAAUCCCGAGGCUCAACCUCGGGUCUGCAGUCGAUACGGGCAAACUAGAGUAUUGCAGGGGAGACUGGAAUUCCUGGUGUAGCGGUGAAAUGCGCAGAUAUCAGGAGGAACACCGGUGGCGAAGGCGGGUCUCUGGGCAAUAACUGACGCUGAGGAGCGAAAGCGUGGGGAGCGAACAGG
rnacentral:rRNA from 1 species